AGCGAACGCUGGCGGCAGGCCUAACACAUGCAAGUCGAACGAACUCUUCGGAGUUAGUGGCGGACGGGUGAGUAACACGUGGGAACGUGCCUUUUGGUUCGGAAUAACUCAGGGAAACUUGUGCUAAUACCGAAUGUGCCCUUCGGGGGAAAGAUUUAUCGCCAUUAGAGCGGCCCGCGUCUGAUUAGCUAGUUGGUGAGGUAACGGCUCACCAAGGCGACGAUCAGUAGCUGGUCUGAGAGGAUGACCAGCCACACUGGGACUGAGACACGGCCCAGACUCCUACGGGAGGCAGCAGUGGGGAAUCUUGCGCAAUGGGCGAAAGCCUGACGCAGCCAUGCCGCGUGAAGGAUGAAGGUCUUAGGAUUGUAAAAUUCUUUCACCGGGGACGAUAAUGACGGUACCCGGAGAAGAAGCCCCGGCUAACUUCGUGC
rnacentral:rRNA from 1 species